rnacentral:rRNA from 1 species
UGGGGAAUAUUGGACAAUGGGCGAAAGCCUGAUCCAGCCAUGCCGCGUGUGUGAAGAAGGUCUUCGGAUUGUAAAGCACUUUAAGUUGGAAGGAAGGGCAGUAAGCGAAUACCUUGCUGUUUUGACGUUACCGACAGAAUAAGCACCGGCUAACUCUGUGCCAGCAGCCGCGGUAAUACAGAGGGUGCAAGCGUUAAUCGGAAUUACUGGGCGUAAAGCGCGCGUAGGUGGUUCGUUAAGUUGAAUGUGAAAGCCCCGGGCUCAACCUGGGAACUGCAUCCAAAACUGGCGAGCUAGAGUAGGGCAGAGGGUGGUGGAAUUUCCUGUGUAGCGGUGAAAUGCGUAGAUAUAGGAAGGAACACCAGUGGCGAAGGCGACCACCUGGGCUCAUACUGACACUGAGGUGCGAAAGCGUGGGGAGCAAACAGG